rnacentral:rRNA from 1 species
CGAAAGCCUGACGGAGCAACGCCGCGUGAGGGAGGAAGGCCCUUGGGUUGUAAACCUCUUUUCUCAGGGAAGAAUUCUGACGGUACCUGAGGAAUAAGCAUCGGCUAACUUCGUGCCAGCAGCCGCGGUAAGACGAAGGAUGCAAGCGUUAUCCGGAAUUAUUGGGCGUAAAGCGUACGUAGGCGGCUUGCCAAGUCCUGGGUUAAAGCCCGCAGCUUAACUGCGGAUCGGCCUUGGAAACUGGCUCGCUAGAGUGUGGUAGGGGUAGCGGGAAUUCCUGGUGUAGCGGUGAAAUGCGUAGAGAUCAGGAAGAACACCUGUGGCGAAAGCGCGCUACUGGGCCACUACUGACGCUGAGGUACGAAAGCUAGGGGAGCA